GUCAUAUAUCGCUUUGUAGUGCUGUAAUGUGCAAAUUAGCGGACUUUAUAGCGGCUCUCUAUUUUCCGUCGUUGUCUUUCGAGCAGCGCCUGUUGUUCCGGUAAAAAUCGAGUUGAAUGAAUCGCCACAGCCCCAACGUAUAUCGCGCAGUGUUGACCAAGACCAAGUCAAGCAGGAAUUCUGGCAUGGUAUGUGGCUGCACGAAGGAUUCCGGAAAAGAAAAACAACAACAUGGCUAAUAGGAUGUUGCUGCCCAGGGAGUCCUGGCGAAGAGGUUUACUCAUUCCAGAAGCAAGAAUUGUAUCAUUGUAAGGCGAAUGGAAAUAAACUGACAUCGACUGAGA